rnacentral:misc_RNA from 1 species
GAUGAAGAACGCAGCGAAAUGCGAUAAGUAAUGUGAAUCGCAGAAUUCAGUGAAUCAUCGAAUCUUUGAACGCACAUUGCGCCCGCCAGUAUUCUGGCGGGCAUGCCUGUUCGAGCGUCAUUUCAACCAUCAAGCCCCCGGGCUUGUGUUGGGGACCUGCGGCUGCCGCAGGCCCUGAAAAGCAGUGGCGGGCUCGCUGUCACACCGAGCGUAGUAGAUUUUAUCUCGCUCUGGGCGUGCUGCGGGUUCCGGCCGUUAAACCACCCUUUUAACCCAAGGUUGACCUCGGAUCAGGUAGGAAGACCCGCUGAACUUAAGCAUAUCAAUAAGCGGAGGA